GCCUAUGCAAUCUACUACUUUUUCUUUGUUUAAUGACUGCCCAAGGAGAAACCUCCCACCUCCAGGGAUAGCCCAUUCCAUUGUUGAGUAGCUCUAAUUAUUAGAGAGUUUUCCUUACAUGAAGACUAAAUUUGCCUCUCCCAAAUUUUGCCACACAGAGCUCCUACCUUUGCUCCAGAUAGAAGUCUAAACCUUUUCCUCAUGAUUAUGAAAGACCUGAAAACAAGUCUCAAGUCCUGCCUAAGUCUUCUCUUCUCCAGACAAGCAAACUAAACCAUGGGAGAGGUGAAGUGACUUAUCCAUAGUGACUCAGCUCGUAAAUAUGAGACAAGGUUCAAAUUCAGGUCUCCUUGACUACACUGUACUACCUAAUUUUAAAGAUGAGGAGAAUUCAGAUUCAGAGAAGAAAAAUGUCUGAGUCUGGCCUUAACUCCAAGGAUCAAGCUUCACUUAAGAUGGUGAGACCAAUUGUCUUCUGAGUGUGAAAACUUAAAAGAAGGCUUCACAGAGAUGCAUAUUUUCCAUGAAUAAGGAGGUAAGAAUCCUGCUGUAUUUCUGGCCUAUUCUGCCCAUGACUGGAAAAUUGUUUGUGCCUUAGCACAACAGUGUAUGAAGAACAUUGAUAGAAUUAUUAGCUCAAGAGGAGGGAAACCAGAAUGCUAAAAAAAUACUCCAUUUAUUCUUUAGGACUGAAGGAAAUGGAGGUGGUUAGU
rnacentral:lncRNA from 1 species